CAUAGGUUAAUGAGGCGAACCGGGGGAACUGAAACAUCUAAGUACCCCGAGGAAAAGAAAUCAACCGAGAUUCCCCCAGUAGCGGCGAGCGAACGGGGAGGAGCCCAGAGCCUGAAUCAGUGUGUGUGUUAGUGGAAGCGUCUGGAAAGGCGCGCGAUACAGGGUGACAGCCCCGUACACAAAAAUGCACAUAUUGUGAGCUCGAUGAGUAGGGCGGGACACGUGGUAUCCUGUCUGAAUAUGGGGGGACCAUCCUCCAAGGCUAAAUACUCCUGACUGACCGAUAGUGAACCAGUACCGUGAGGGAAAGGCGAAAAGAACCCCGGCGAGGGGAGUGAAAAAGAACCUGAAACCGUGUACGUACAAGCAGUGGGAGCCUCUUAAUGGGGUGACUGCGUACCUUUUGUAUAAUGGGUCAGCGACUUAUAUUCUGUAGCAAGGUUAACCGAAUAGGGGAGCCGAAGGGAAACCGAGUCUUAACUGGGCGUUAAGUUGCAGGGUAUAGACCCGAAACCCGGUGAUCUAGCCAUGGGCAGGUUGAAGGUUGGGUAACACUAACUGGAGGACCGAACCGACUAAUGUUGAAAAAUUAGCGGAUGACUUGUGGCUGGGGGUGAAAGGCCAAUCAAACCGGGAGAUAGCUGGUUCUCCCCGAAAGCUAUUUAGGUAGCGCCUCGUGAAUUCAUCUCCGGGGGUAGAGCACUGUUUCGGCAAGGGGGUCAUCCCGACUUACCAAC
rnacentral:rRNA from 1 species